rnacentral:rRNA from 1 species
CCUACGGGUGGCUACAGUGGGGAAUAUUGGACAAUGGGCGAAAGCCUGAUCCAGCCAUGCCGCGUGUGUGAAGAAGGCCUUCGGGUUGUAAAGCACUUUCAGUGGGGAAGAAAGCCUUGGGGCUAAUGCCCUCGAGGAAGGACAUCACCCACAGAAGAAGCACCGGCUAACUCCGUGCCAGCAGCCGCGGUAAUACGGAGGGUGCGAGCGUUAAUCGGAAUUACUGGGCGUAAAGCGCGCGUAGGCGGUCUGAUAAGCCGGUUGUGAAAGCCCCGGGCUCAACCUGGGAACGGCAUCCGGAACUGUCAGGCUAGAGUGCAGGAGAGGAAGGUAGAAUUCCCGGUGUAGCGGUGAAAUGCGUAGAGAUCGGGAGGAAUACCAGUGGCGAAGGCGGCCUUCUGGACUGACACUGACGCUGAGGUGCGAAAGCGUGGGUAGCAAACAGGAUUAGAUACCCUGGUAGUC